GCUUGCUGUUUCGCUGACGAGUGGCGGACGGGUGAGUAAUGUCUGGGAAACUGCCUGAUGGAGGGGGAUAACUACUGGAAACGGUAGCUAAUACCGCAUAACGUCGCAAGACCAAAGAGGGGGACCUUCGGGCCUCUUGCCAUCGGAUGUGCCCAGAUGGGAUUAGCUAGUAGGUGGGGUAACGGCUCACCUAGGCGACGAUCCCUAGCUGGUCUGAGAGGAUGACCAGCCACACUGGAACUGAGACACGGUCCAGACUCCUACGGGAGGCAGCAGUGGGGAAUAUUGCACAAUGGGCGCAAGCCUGAUGCAGCCAUGCCGCGUGUAUGAAGAAGGCCUUCGGGUUGUAAAGUACUUUCAGCGGGGAGGAAGGGAGUAAAGUUAAUACCUUUACUCAUUGACGUUACCCGCAGAAGAAGCACCGGCUAACUCCGUGCCAGCAGCCGCGGUAAUACGGAGGGUGCAAGCGUUAAUCGGAAUUACUGGGCGUAAAGCGCACGCAGGCGGUUUGUUAAGUCAGAUGUGAAAUCCCCGGGCUCAACCUGGGAACUGCAUCUGAUACUGGCAAGCUUGAGUCUCGUAGAGGGGGGUAGAAUUCCAGGUGUAGCGGUGAAAUGCGUAGAGAUCUGGAGGAAUACCGGUGGCGAAGGCGGCCCCCUGGACGAAGACUGACGCUCAGGUGCGAAAGCGUGGGGAGCAAACAGGAUU
rnacentral:rRNA from 1 species